GUGCUCACUUCGGCAGCGCAUGUACUAAAAUUGGAAUGAUAUAGAGAAUAUUAGGAAUGAUAUAGAGAAUAUUAGGAAUGAUAUAGAGAAUAUUAGCAUGGCCGUUGUGCAAGGACAACACACAAAUUUACGAAGUGUUACAUAGUUUU
rnacentral:snRNA from 1 species